CUGGAAUACUGUAUCUGGUUCUGGAGCCCACAAUUCAAGAAGGAUGUUGAUUAAUUGGUAGAGCUCAGAGAAGAACCAGAGAAUGACUAAACGAUUAGAAAACAUGCCGUAGAGUCACAG